GUCGGAGCUGCCGACCCCUGAGGUCCAGGAGCCGUCGGAGCUGCCGGACCCAGAGCCCCAGGACUCGUCGGAGCUGCAGAACCCCGAGGUCCAGAACUCGUCGGAGCUGCCGACCGCUGAGGUCCAGGACCCGUCGGAGCUGCCGUCGAACCCCGAGCCGACCCGUCGGUGGAGGGCCGACUCCGGAUCCCCGGGCCCUGUCAGAGGUAC